UUUUUUUGUAUAAAGUUAUUUAUGCUGGCAUCUGCUUUUUUCUUUUUAGGCACUUAGAUUAAGGUCGAAAUAGCUAAAAUUGGAGAGUCAAUUGGAGAACACAGAGGCUGAAAUUUCUUCUUUCAAGUAUGCUGUAAUUUUUCUUUACCAAAGGGCUUGUGAUCUACAUUUUCAGGAUGAGUUGAUUACUUGUUUCUUCAAUUAUAUAUGCCUUUUGCCAUAUGUGUUCAAAAG
rnacentral:lncRNA from 1 species